GACGAACGCUGGCGGCGUGCCUAAUACAUGCAAGUCGAGCGAAUUUUUGGGAGCUUGCUCCCAAAGGUUAGCGGCGGACGGGUGAGUAACACGUGGGCAACCUGCCUAUAAGACUGGGAUAACUUCGGGAAACCGGAGCUAAUACCGGAUAAUUCAUAUCUACUCAUGUAGGUAUGCUGAAAGACGGUUUACGCUGUCACUUAUAGAUGGGCCCGCGGCGCAUUAGCUAGUUGGUGAGGUAACGGCUCACCAAGGCAACGAUGCGUAGCCGACUUGAGAGGGUGAUCGGCCACACUGGGACUGAGGCACGGCCCCGACUCCGACGGGGGGCAGCAGUAGGGAGUCUUCCGCAAUGGACGAAAGUCUGACGGAGCAACGCCGCGUGAGUGAUGAAGGUUUUCGGAUCGUAAAACUCUGUUGUUAGGGAAGAACAAGUGCUAGUUGAAUAAGCUGGCACCUUGACGGUACCUAACCAGAAAGCCACGGCUAACUACGUGCCAGCCGCCGCGGUAA
rnacentral:rRNA from 1 species